rnacentral:rRNA from 2 species
GGGUUGUGAGGUUAAGCGACUAAGCGUACACGGUGGAUGCCCUGGCAGUCAGAGGCGAUGAAGGGCGUGCUAAUCUGCGAUAAGCGCCGGUAAGGUGAUAUGAACCGUUAUAACCGGCGAUACCCGAAUGGGGAAACCCAGUGUGACUCGUCACACUAUCAUUAACUGAAUCCAUAGGUUAAUGAGGCGAACCGGGGGAACUGAAACAUCUAAGUACCCCGAGGAAAAGAAAUCAACCGAGAUUCCCCCAGUAGCGGCGAGCGAACGGGGAGGAGCCCAGAGCCUGAAUCAGCAUGUGUGUUAGUGGAAGCGUCUGGAAAGGCGCGCGAUACAGGGUGACAGCCCCGUACACAAAAGCGCAUGUGCUGUGAGCUCGAUGAGUAGGGCGGGACACGUGGUAUCCUGUCUGAAUAUGGGGGGACCAUCCUCCAAGGCUAAAUACUCCUGACUGACCGAUAGUGAACCAGUACCGUGAGGGAAAGGCGAAAAGAACCCCGGCGAGGGGAGUGAAAAAGAACCUGAAACCGUGUACGUACAAGCAGUG